GGAGGAUUGGAGGAGAGCUGCUAGCUGCCAAUUGGGUGCUUCGGUUGAUAGAGAAGGGACAAGGGAGUAGUGUUGGCCGGCUGGGAGGAGAGGAAGAUCAAGCUAUUGCCAAUUUGCUUCGUUGAGAAGAAAGGAGAGGAUGGAGAAGAGCGGGGGCAGCGUCUUGGUGGGAUUGGAGGUAGGCCUAUUCACGGGUUGGUUCGAAACUGUUGAACCCAUGAACCCAAAUCAGACCGGACCAUUGAAGAUGUUUGCACGGUUUCAUUCGGUUUCUGGUUCCAACCUGUAUGUGCAGAAGCGGGUUGAGUUCUACACAGGUUAGAAAUCGUGAAACCAGGUAAACCUACCUCAGUGCUUGCAUCUUAUUCUGGCACCUCCGGCGGUAGCAGUGAAGAGGACAAGAUGGUCACGAACUCGCAGACGCAUCAUCACAU
rnacentral:lncRNA from 1 species